UGAGGAAUAUUGGUCAAUGGGGGCAACCCUGAACCAGCCAAGUCGCGUGAAGGAUGAAGGUCUUAUGGAUUGUAAACUUCUUUUAUACAGGAAUAAAUUGGGGGACGUGUCCCCUUUUGCAUGUACUGUAUGAAUAAGGAUCGGCUAACUCCGUGCCAGCAGCCGCGGUAAUACGGAGGAUCCGAGCGUUAUCCGGAUUUAUUGGGUUUAAAGGGUGCGCAGGCGGGAUGUUAAGUCGGCGGUGAAAUUUUGCAGCUCAACUGUAAAAGUGCCUUCGAUACUGGCCUCCUUGAGUGUGAAUGAAGUAGGCGGAAUUUGUGGUGUAGCGGUGAAAUGCGUAGAUAUCAGGAGGAACACCGGCGGUGUAGACGGCUUGCUAGACCAUAACUGACGCUGAGGCACGAAAGCGUGGGUAGCAAACA
rnacentral:rRNA from 1 species